GACGAACGCUGGCGGCGUGCUUAACACAUGCAAGUCGAACGGAAAGGCCCUGCUUUUGUGGGGUGCUCGAGUGGCGAACGGGUGAGUAACACGUGAGUAACCUGCCCUUGACUUUGGGAUAACUUCAGGAAACUGGGGCUAAUACCGGAUAGGAGCUCCUGCUGCAUGGUGGGGGUUGGAAAGUUUCGGCGGUUGGGGAUGGACUCGCGGCUUAUCAGCUUGUUGGUGGGGUAGUGGCUUACCAAGGCUUUGACGGGUAGCCGGCCUGAGAGGGUGACCGGCCACAUUGGGACUGAGAUACGGCCCAGACUCCAACGGGAGGCAGCAGUGGGGAAUAUUGCACAAUGGGCGGAAGCCUGAUGCAGCAACGCCGCGUGCGGGAUGACGGCCUUCGGGUUGUAACCCGCUUUCGCCUGUGACGAAGCGUGAGUGACGGUAAUGGGUAAAGAAGCACCGGCUAACUACGUG
rnacentral:rRNA from 1 species